UUGGAGACUGAAGAGAAUUGGAAAUGGAAGAGAUGGAAUGACACUAGGUCAACUAGUCCAACCAGUACUUGUAUAAAAAUCCGUUUCAUAAGAUUCCUUGACAAAUGUUUCAAUGUCUUUACCUGUAAGACCAAGGGGUCAGACUAUCACUUAUAAAGACUCUGCAAGCUCUAAAAUUCAUGAUCUGAAAAGUGCCCAGAAAUGGAUACAAUACUACUAGUGGGGUCUGACAAGCCUUCAAAAUGUAGAACUGACAAAGGGAAAUUCUAUUCUGGACCUGAUCCUUGCCAACAAUAAGGGAACUGAUUUCUGGGAAGGAAAUGAAGGAAACCUUGGAAUUUGUGGCAGAGAAGUAGCAAAAAACAAGGACUAAUUUAACAUGCAUCCUAGAUUUUGGAAGAGCAAGACUGCAAAGUUCAGAGAAAUGAUUGAUAGGAUUUCAUGGACUAAAAUUAUACAGGGAAGUUAUCCCAGGAAGGACAGGAAGCACUUAUUAAUGAAACUCUGCAGACAUGAAAAGAAACAAUUCGAAUGAGAAGGGUAAAGGGGAGCUGCUGUUUGGAGAGAUCAAUGAGGAUGCAAAGGGAACUCGUUAAUCAAGGUGGACUUUAAAAAAAAAGUGAAGAUGAAAGCAAGGGCAGGUAAAAUAAAAGGAAGAUGGAAAGCAUGGCCCAGAACUGUAAGAGUCAUAGCAAGAGUACUAAAAAUCAGAAAAAGCCAAAGAUAAUGAUGAAUUCUGACAACAAAAUGGCUUUUGUCUUAUCUCCACUGGGAAGAUGAUUAAUAUCAAUGGAAGGAUGAGACUGCUUCUUGGAAGGCUAGACCAAUGAUAAUGGACAAUGGUGAGAAGGCAGUUCAACUGCUAUUUUACUUCUGUUUUCACAAUCCAAGUGAAUAGCUGGACUGGAAAGGAUAGGGCAAACAUGGCCCAAAGAGAAGUAAUAAAUUAUAAAUUGGAAGAUAUAAGAGAAACCAUGUAACAUUGAUGAGUUCAAGUCACCAGGCACAGAUAAAGUUCACUCUUAGAUAUGCAAAAACUGGCAUGAUUGUUGAGCCACUAUCAAUAGUUUCAGAAAGAUUAUAUGUCAAUGUCCAGAGAAUUAGGUGCAGGUGACUACAAUUCCACUAAAAAGACGGAAUUCUAAGGCUAUCUAGCAACAUCUUUCAAAACCCUCAGAAAUGUUUAUUAUCUCUUUAUCUUAUUCUCACACUAUCUCUUUUGAUGCCAGGGAUGUUGGGAGAAGCUUAUUAGCUCUCCCACUGCCUCCAUUUAUUCAUAUAUUUACAUACCUUGACACAGAAUGAAAUAAACUCCUAUGUCUCUACACAUUGAAAUAUUCUUCUUCCUCAAAAAACCCAGCUUGUAUUCACUUACUCUGAUUCUCCCUCCAACUGAAAAUGAUCUCCCUACUCUAAUCUUGUAGUAUUUAGACUAGAUCUUUCCUUUAUCCUUCUCACAUCCUACUUCUUGCUAUAUCCAUGUACAAGUCUAAUCUCCUCUCUUAGACUAUAAGCUCCUCCAAGGGCAAGGGCUGUUGUGUCUUUCCUUUCAUUUAUUUCCUUCUUUCUUUAUUUCCUUCCUUCUUCCCUCAUCUCUUUUUUUUUCUUUCCUGUGACUUCAUUGCUGUGGAAAUCCUAAGCAAAUAGCCCCCCUCUACCAAUUAAAAUCAAGGACUCUUUUGCAACUUCUGAUUUAAGAAAAUUUCUUGAGAUGUAGAAAGUUAUGAUGACUCCUCCAGGAUCAAUAGCUAACAUGUGUUAGAGGCAGGACUUGAAUUCAGGUCUUCUUAAUUCUGAGGCCAUUUCUCCAUCUAUUACUAUUGUACUGGCUCUUGCUUAGUACAUAGUAAGUACUUUAACACAUAUCUGAUAUUUGACUAAUUAAAGAUGGUAAACUGGGGACCCAGCUAGAAAAAGAGGAUUGCUUAUGGUUCCCUGUAGGUAAGAGUUAGUCCCCUGAUAAUAAGAUAAAGGCUGUCUCCCCUUACACAGCUUAUUCCAAAAGAACUAGGCAUCAGAUGAAAGAAUUUUCACAUGUCCAAUCAUCUAUUCAGAAGUUUACCACUCUCUCUGGCACCAUCAUGAGACUAAGUAAAAAGGUUUUAUACCUGGCUACCCUUUGCAAUAUUUCCAGCCUCAGAACAAGUUGUGUAACUUUUGCCCUGGACUUGACAAAAAUCUUAAUUAUGACCCACAGAGUUCAGAUGAGCUGUUGGGAGAUUGUUGUAACUGAUGGGCCAUGGCUUCUCUAAUUGAAUCCAUUUGGCUUCAUCUCUGGAAUGAGGGCAAUCCCAGGAGUAGAAGUGCCACAAUGAGUCAGUUUCACUUGGCUGCAUUUGGACUGCUUCUGGAAGGAAGUCCCCAAUGGUCCAGGGCUUCCCAAUCUAUUCUGUACUCUUGGACUGGGGAAAGAAUACUCAUGAGCAAUUUCUCAAUUUCCUUCCAAACAGACUGACAAGUUAAUAGACUGAGGGCUUGA